rnacentral:lncRNA from 1 species
UGUGGGCGGAACACAUCGUCUCUCCGCCAUGGCGGCCCUGCGUGCUCUGCUGCCCAGAGCCUGUAGCUCACUGUUGUCCUCAGUCCGCUGCCCAGAACUACGGCGCUUCGCCUCGGGUGAGUGCGGACACCGGCGGGGUGCGUCACCCCACCCACGUUGGGUGGUUUCUCCACCCAUAACCUCUGGGUGGUCCCUAAACCCCGGCCUGCACGCAUCCUCACUUGAUCCUGGCCCUUCUCUCCUAACUCUAGAUCUUUUGUCUGACCCCCUACUUCCACAAGCAUGCACUCCCAACACUUGACUCUGAAGUACCUGGACCCUGGAUUCGAGUACGCAUCCCCACACUAAACCCAGAUUUCCUGCAAGUGACCACUGACUCUAGCUUGGUGAUCUUCCUUCUGAGCCUCCAACUCCAGCGCUCGACUGACCCCUUCCCAAUUCCUUACCCCGUUCCCCGCUCCUCAGUCUGACCUUAGUCUCACCUUACAAGCCCAGCCAGAUCCUAGCACCUCGAAGCCAUGUCUAGUGGGAGGGCUCUGGGUGUAAUAGCUUCUCAACGCUCGAACUUUUAUGAGUGUCAGCUGGGAACAUGCAUGUUGGUUGUGAAAUCCCAUGUGUUUAGGUAGCUUUAAGAGAAUGUGAAAGUAGGUUAAGUAAGACAGCCUGGGUAUUGGGAAAGGUUUGUCCAUAGUGCCUCCUGUCUAGUCUCUGCUGUUUCCACAGUCUCUCCUGAUCGUGUCCUUCAAGCCACCCAAUCAGCGUAGCCCAUACCGACACACCCACUUUCCUUCCUAGCCAGCUGAAUAGUUCCUCCCUUCCCACUCCUUGGCUCAACUCCUCUACAGACUUCUAGUACUCCACUGUGAAUUUUUUUUUAAUAUUUUUUAUUUAGUAUUUUCCUCAUUUACAUUUCCAAUGCUAUCCCAAAAGUUCCCCAUACCCUCCCCACCACUCCCCUACCCACCCACUCCCACUUUUUGGCCCUGGCGUUCCCCUGUACUGGGGCAUAUAAAGUUUGCAAGUCCAAUGGGCCUCUUUCUGUUGAUGGCCGACUAGGCCAUCUUUUGAUACAUAUGCGGCUAGAGUCAAGAGCUCCGGGGUACUGGUUAGCUCAUAAUGUUGUUCUACCUAUAGGGUUGCACCUUUAGCUCCUUGGGUAUUUUCUCUAGCUCCUCCAUUGGGGGCCCUGUGAUCCAUCCAAUAGCUGACUGUGAGCAUCCACUUCUGUGUUCGCUAGGCCCCGGCAUAGUCUCACAAGAGACAGCCAUAUCUGGGUCCUUUCAGCAAAAUCAUGCUAGUGUAUGCAAUGGGGUCAGCGUUUGGAAGCUGAUUAUGGGAUGGAUCCCCGGAUAUAGCAGUCUCUAGAUGGUCCAUCCUUUUGUCUCAGCUCCAAACUUUGUCUCUGUAACUCCUUCCAUGGGUGUUUUGUUCCCAAUUCUAAGAAGGGGCAAAGUGUCCACACUUUGGUCUUCGUUCUUCUUGAGUUUCAUGCGUUUAGCAAAUUGUAUCUUAUAUCUUGGGUAUCCUAAGUUUCUGGGUCCACUGUGAAUUCUUAACCACGUUCUGGGGCAAGGGUUCCUCCUGAAUCCCAACCUGGAUUGGCUGUCAUGUCCUGCUUCCCGGAAUGGUAGACAGCCUACUGUUCAGUAACGUACCUCACACUUAAGUUACAACGGAACAAAUCACCCAGAACACAGACCUUCACUCUCAGGUUUACCUCCCUCACCUUAAGUCUGUGGGCUGCACUCCCCAAGUCUGAGCUGGUUGGCCCUCCAGAUCUCCUAGAACAAAUGGUGCAUUGGAUCAGUCUCUGUCCCACCAGGCAUACUGCUCCAGCAGGCCCGGGCUCUGGCUGGCUCCCGCCUGCUGUCUGCUCUGGAAAGUGCAGGCAUAUGGGGAGAGGGUGAAUGUUCUGUGCUAGAGUUUUCCUUUUCGUUCCUUUGAUCGUUUGUUGAGACACUAUCUCACUAUGUAGCUCUGGCUGGCCUGGAACUAGACCAGGUUAACCUGGAACUCAGGAAGAUGCACCUGCAUCUGUUUCCUGCGUGCUAGGGUUAAAGGUCUGUGCCGCCGCCACCAUGUCUGGAUAGAUCAUAUCCAGAGCUACAGGCUGGAGCAGUAAGCAUAGUACACAAUUCCCUGUCAAUACCUGUUUCAGUACAGAACUGAUAGAAUGAAUAUAUAUAUAUAUAUAUAUUAUCUAUUCGUUGGGAGGGGGGGUAUUAGAGUGGCUUACAGGUUGUGGUCUGAGUAGUCCAACAAUGGAUGUUUCCUGAAAGAAAGGCCAAGGAUUCAGUAGUUAUUCAGUCCAAGAGACUAAAUAUCUCAGCAGGCCCAAUCUGAUUUUGGAGUCCAGAAAACUGCUAGAGAGCUGAGGGUCUUAAGUGUAUAUUGGAAUCUUGAAGAACUAGGUUCAAACACCAGAGAAGGAGUGCCUUAAGAGUAGAUUAGUUACCUGGUGGUGGCACACACUUUUAAUCUCAGCACUUGGGAGGCAGAGGCAGGCAGAUCUCUGAGUCCAGGCCAGACUGGUCUACAUAGUGAAAUCCAAGACAGCCAGAGAAACCUUGUCUCAAAACAACCAAAACAAACAAACAAAAAAUUAGGUGAACUUGCCAUCAAGAGUGAGAGCAAGCAGGCAAAGAUCAAAAGUUUCUUUCUUCCAUGUUGUUGUUGUUCUUCUUCUUCUUCUUCUUUUAGAUUUAUUUAUUUAUUUAUUAUAUGUAAGUACACUGUAGCUGUCUUCUGACACACCAGAAGAGGGCAUCAGAUCUCAUUAUAGAUGGUUGUGAGCCACCAUGUGGUUGCUGGGAUUUGAACUCAGGACCUCUGGAAGAGCAGUCAGUGCUCUUAACCGCUGAGCCAUCUCUCCAGCCCCCUUUCAUGUUCUUUUAUGUGGGCUACCAACAAGUAUGACCCAGACUUAGGGUUGGGUCGUUUCACCUCAAAAGAGCCAUUUAAGAAAAUCUUCCGCUGGGUGUGGUGGCACACUCCUUUAAUCCCAGCACUCAGGAGGCAGAGGCAGGCGGAUUUCUGAGUUUGAGGCCAGCCUGGUCUACAAAGUGAGUUCCAUGACAACCAGGGCUAUACAGAGAAACCCUGUCUCGAAAACCCCCCCCC